rnacentral:rRNA from 1 species
UCUAGCGGAACUGCCAGCGUAAGCUGCGAGGAAGUGGGGAUGACGUCAAAUCAGCACGGCCCUUACGUCCAGGGCUACACACGUGUUACAAUGGCCAGUACAGAGGGCAGCCACCCCGCGAGGGGGCGCUAAUCCUAAAAGCUGGUCCCAGUUCGGAUCGGAGUCUGCAACCCGACUCCGUGAAGCUGGAUUCGCUAGUAAUCGCGCAUCAGCCACGGCGCGGUGAAUACGUUCCCGGGCCUU